CCUACGGGUGGCAGCAGUGGGGAAUAUUGCGCAAUGGGCGAAAGCCUGACGCAGCGACGCCGCGUGAGGGAUGAAGGUCUUCGGAUCGUAAACCUCUGUCAGAAGGGAAGAACGGUCACUGUGCUAAUCAGCAGUGAAUUGACGGUACCUGCAAAGGAAGCACCGGAAAACCCCGUGCCAGCAGCCGCGGUAAUACGGAGGGUGCGAGCGUUAAUCGGAAUUACUGGGCGUAACGCUCUCGUAGGCGGUAUGUCAAGUCAAGGGUGAAAGCCCGCGCUCAACGUGGGAACUGCCUUUGAAACGGGCAAACUGGAGUGUGUGAGAGGAGAGUGGAAUUCCAGGUGUAGGAGUGAACUCCGUAGAUAUCUGGAGGAACAUCAGUGGCGAAGGCGACUAUCUGGCACAUAACUGACGCUGAGGAGCGAAAGCGUGGGUAGCAAACAGGAUUAGAUACCCUUGUAGUC
rnacentral:rRNA from 1 species